rnacentral:rRNA from 1 species
CCGAGAUCUACACUCUUCCCCUACACGUCGCUCUUCCGAUCUGGGCAUAACGCUUACCGAACCCAAUCAAACUCCGAAUGCCUUCAGUAAGGCGCAGCAGUCGGGCUACGGGAGAUGAGUUUCGUGGCCGAGAGGGGAAGAACCCAGACCCCCGACUAAGGUCCUGAAGUACCAGCUAAGUGGGAAACGAUGUGGUCGUGUCGAGACAGCCAGGAGGUUGGCUUAGAAGCAGCCACCCUUGAAAGAGUGCGUAACAGCUCACUGGUCGAACGCGACUGCGCGGAAAAUGGAACGGGGCUAAAGCUGGACACCGAAGUCAGGGACUUCCCGAGAGGGGAGUGGUAGGAGAGCGUCGCCACAGCGGAGAAGGCGUACCGGCAAGGUACGUUGGAGCGGUGGGGAGUGAGAAUGCGGGCAUGAGUAGCGAACACGAUGUGAGAACCAUCGUCGCCGAAGGUCUAAGGUUUCCGACGGAAGGUCAGUCCGCGUCGGGUGAGUCGGGCCUAAGCCGAAGCUGAGAAGCGAAGGCGAUGGACAACUGGUAAAGAUUCCAGUACCGGCUGGUGGAGCAAAGCAGAGCACUUGAGGAAAGCGCAGCCCCCGGAUGGAAGGGGGUGGCAAGAGGUUAAUGACCUUGACGCCGUGCCUUCGGGCAAGAAGUGCGUGGCACCCCGGGUCGAGAAAAACUGCGUAGCGACGAAGCCAGACGACCGUACCCCAAACCGACACCGGUAGAUAGGUUGAGAAUACCAAGGCGAACGGGAGAAACCUCGUUAAGGAACUAGGCAAAAUGGCCCCGUAACUUCGGGAGAAGGGGCGCCGCCGCGAGGCGGCCGCAGUGAAAAGGCUCUACCGACUGUUUACCAAAAACACAGGUCUGUGCGAACGCGGAAGCGGACGUAUACGGGCUGACGCCUGCCCAGUGCCGGAAGGUUAAGAGGAGGGGUGCAAGCUCCGAAUUGAAGCCCCGGUGAACGGCGGCCGUAACUAUAACGGUCCUAAGGUAGCGAAAUUCCUUGUCGGGUAAGUUCCGACCCGCACGAAAGGCGUAACGAGUGGAGCGCUGUCUCAACGAGGUACCCGGCGAAAUUGAAGUACGUGUGAAGAUGCGCGUUACCCGCAGCUGGACAAAAAGACCCUGUGGAGCUUUACUGUAGCUUGUCAUGGCGUUAGGGCUGUGUCUGUGUAGGAUAGCUGGGAGGCGGAGAGAUCUGGGCGCAAGCCUGGGUGGAGCCGACGGUGAAAUACCAGCCUGACAGAGCUUUGACCCUAACUUGGGAGACUGAGGACAGUGGCAGGUGGGCAGUUUGACUGGGGCGGUCGCCUCCUAAAAGGUAACGGAGGCGUGCAAAGGUGGGCUCAGGCUGAAUGGAAACCAGCCAAAGCGUGCAAAGGCAGAAGCCCGCUUGACUGCAAGGGGUACAACCCGAGCAGAGACGAAAGUCGGACUUAGUGAUCCUACAGCGCCGAGUGGAAGGGCUGUAGCUUACCGGAUAAAAGCUACCCCGGGGAUAACAGGCUAGUCUGGUCCAAGAGUUCAUAUCGACGACCAGGUUCGGCACCUCGAUGUCGGCUCAUCGCAUCCUGGGGCUGGAUAAGGUCCCAAGGGUUGGGCUGUUCGCCCAUUAAAGCGGUACGUGAGCUGGGUUCAGCCCGUCGUGAGACAGGUCGGUCUCUAUCCGCUGUGGGCGCAGGGGGU